CUGGCUUCUUAUUUGUAGGCUCGGUUUUAGUUUAGUCACUUAGUUUUCAGCUCAAGACGCAGGACAAACAAGGAGAAACACAACCCUCUGUCUGACCGACAACAGAAGACCCAUUUGAUCAGCUGGCUAUGGGUGGCUCCUCCUCUAAAAGAACCUUUUUAUGGCAAAAGAAGAAGAAGUCACCUGUGGAGAAAGCCUGGUGUCAGCUGAAGGGGGCGCUACCCAGUAAAAAACGCAGGAAGAAGAGUGUCCUGUCACUGGAUAAACUGAAGCUGGACAACCUGAAGAAGGAGAAGCAUUCCCAGAAGAGAUUCUCGCUGUCAACAGACAAGAAAGAGCCGAUAUCACUGAAAAGACUCUCUCUUGGUAACAUCAGAAAGGGGUCAAUUCAGAGUCAUCUUUCACCAGGAAGGAAUGAGAAGGAGGGAGGAGGGCUGGGGAAAGUGGGAAAGCAAAAAAAGAGAGGGGUUAAUGAAAAAUGAGACAAAUGGACUAAUAAUUGGAGCAAAAAGAGACUUAAUGAAUCCAUUUGUCUAUGACUCUCCAACAGGAGCCAAAGCAAAUAGACAACGGAGAGAGAAAGAACCUUGAAUCUGGCAGGAAGACAAAAGACAGAGAGAUACAUGUAUUCAAAGUUUUUAAUGAUGUCACUGUCGCUUUCCAAGGGCAGAUCAUGGCUGCAAACAAGAUACCAAAACACAGCAUUACAGUCAUAACGGCUCUUUCCUAUAAACAUCUUGACAUCAGUUUUGCUCAAUAUCAACAUAAAUCAGCUGCAAUAUAUUUACCUUAAAGCUUCAUAUCACGUCACUAAUCUCACACUCUCCUGUCAGCUCAAGUCAUGCUUGACAAAAAAGAUAAAUUUAGAAAUUUAAACAUUUCUGGAUAUUAUCAUAACGAAGAAAAUUUUGAUUUCCCUUUAUGUUUUCUUUUUUUGAGCUGCCUCUGCUGGCUAAUUAAGUGCACUAAUCUACAAUUUCAAUGUGUUCAUAAAUAAAGUUUUAUAUCACAAGCAAUUUACGAAUGAAUAGUAUGCGUCAUUCCAGCACAGAGACAAUUUAAAUGAUGCAAACACGACAGUUUUAGCAGCAUACAGUGACACACAGACAAAAUAAAAAAUAAAAGCUUGAGGAACAGUUUAUAGCAUACUGUGAAGAACUGCUUUGAUAUUUAUGGGGAAAAAAAGAAAAGAAAAAAAUAACAGUGUAACAUAACAUGCACAUCAGAUUUGUCACUUCCACUUUGUGAAGAGUAAAAAA